GGGUGCGAUUAUACCAGCACUAGUGCACUGAAUCCCAUCAGAACUCCGCAGCUAAGCGUGCUUGGGCGAGAGUAGUACUAG
rnacentral:rRNA from 1 species